rnacentral:rRNA from 1 species
UACGGAGGGUGCAAGCGUUAUCCGGAUUCACUGGGUUUAAAGGGUGCGUAGGUGGGUCUGUAAGUCAGUGGUGAAAUCUCCGGGCUUAACCUGGAGACUGCCAUUGAUACUAUAGGUCCUGAAUUUUCUGGAGGUUAGCGGAAUAUGUCAUGUAGCGGUGAAAUGCUUAGAUAUGACAUAGAACACCAAUUGCGAAGGCAGCUAACUACGGGAGGAUUGACACUGAGGCACGAAAGCGUGGGGAUCAAACGGG